UACGGGGGGCGCAAGCGUUGUUCGGAAUUACUGGGCGUAAAGGGCGCGUAGGCGGCCUGCUAAGUCACACGUGAAAUCCCUCGGCUCAACCGGGGAACUGCGUGUGAUACUGGCGGGCUUGAAUUCGGGAGAGGGAUGUGGAAUUCCAGGUGUAGCGGUGAAAUGCGUAGAUAUCGGAAGGAACAUCAGUGGCGAAAGCGGCUUCCUGGACCAGCACCGACGUUCAGGCACGAAAGCGUGGGGAGCAAACAGG
rnacentral:rRNA from 1 species